UACCAGAAGGAAUAGCUGCACUUGCCUUGGU
rnacentral:piRNA from 1 species